GAUGAAGAACGUAGCGAAAUGCGAUAAGUAAUGUGAAUUGCAGAAUUCAGUGAAUCAUCGAAUCUUUGAACGCACAUUGCGCCCGCCAGUAUUCUGGCGGGCAUGCCUGUUCGAGCGUCAUUUCAACCCUCAAGCCCUGCUUGGUGUUGGGGAUCGGCGUUGCCUCCUCCGUCGUUCGCGGCGGGGUGAGGUCGCCGCCCCCGAAAUGAAUUGGCGGUCUCGUCGCAGCUUUCCUUUGCGUAGUAACAUACCACCUCGCAACCAGGAGCGCGGCGCGGCCACUGCCGUAAAACGCCCAACUUUUCCAAGAGUUGACCUCGAAUCAGGUAGGAAUACCCGCUGAACUUAAGCAUAUCAAUAAGCGGAGGA
rnacentral:misc_RNA from 1 species